ACUUAUUCAUUUUGAGAGAGAGCGCGCCCAUGAGGACUUUUCAAAACUUGGCAGCACUCACACAUUAUGGGAUUUUGAACAGCUGAUAGGCGAAAUGGCAGACUGCCAGAAGAAACGCGCCGAAAAUAACAGACGAAAACAGUUCGUUUUUGCUUAAUGGAGAAAUGACGUGUUGAAAUGUUUACAAUUAUUUGUCUUAAAAUUAAUUCAAUUGAAACGUAAUAAUUUAAAUUGAAGGGAGUUUUAGAAUUUUUCAAAGCCUUUUAUAUCCUUUUCAACUUCUACUUUAAUUAGUCUUAUGCACAUAUGCAUAUGAAUACAUUUUACUCGUACAUACAUGUGCUUUUAUUGAAAUCUGUAUGUUGGUUUAUGUCUGUAAAUUGGUAUAUACGUAAAUAUUCUAUGAGUGAAAAGCGUAGCUUGCAGUGGCCAUGGGCGGUUGGAAUAUCAUAUUUCAUAAAUACAUUACGGAUGGACUUUAUGAGAUGGCAAUAGUCAAACAUGCAAAAAUUGGAUAUUUAUGCACGACAACGAUCCCAAACAUACUGCGGGAGUGGUCAAAAACUGGCUUUCGCAGGAAAAUAUUACCCAGCUCGAUUGGCCAGCACAAAGUCCGGAUUUAAAUCCAAUCGAAAACUUGUGGAAUGAUGUGAAGACGAUGGUUGGACAAAAAAAAUUAAAAAAUAUCGAUGAACUUUGGGAAGGUGUACAGGAAGCAUGGAACUCUAUUCCUUUGGACAGGUGCCAAAAGUUAAUAGAGAGUUUACCACGCAGGUGUGAAGGAGUUAUACAGAAUAACGGCUAUUCUACCAAAUAUUGAUAUGAUUUUUUACAGAAAUCAAAACUGCGCUAAGUCUUUGUCCAAAUCCCACUAUGACCAAAUAAGAAUUACUUCUAUUUUAUCAUAUUUUUACUAGGGAAAACUGUCUACUUUAAGUUAUUUUGUCUUAUAAUAAAGUGUUAAAUAUAUUUAGUUAAAAAAACUGGAUUUAUUUUGGUUUCAUAUCAUUUAAUCGAGCAUUAUAUUGAACUCUUUUUAAGUGCGCUAAACGUUUGACCAUAGCUGUAUGCAUACAUACAAUUACGCGCAAUUUUCAUAAAAAGACCAAAAAGAACAAAUCUGUAAACAUGCAUACAAAUCAUAUGGACAUAUCAAAUGAACAAAUAUGUUCUGUAC